UCGAUUAGUUUGAUCCUGGCUCAGGACGAACGCUGGCGGCGUGCCUAACACAUGCAAGUGGAGCGACGAACCAGGGCUUGCCCUGGGGCCAAGCCGCGAACGGGUGAGUAACACGUGGGUAACCUGCCCCGAUGAUUGGGACAACCCGGGGAAACCCGGGCUAAUACCAAAUGUGCUCGCUGGUCAUAAGACUGGUGAGGAAAGGAAGCUUCGGCCUCCGCAUUGGGAUGGGCCCGCGGCCCAUUAGCUUGUUGGUGAGGUAAAGGCUCACCAAGGCGACGAUGGGUAGCUGGUCUGAGAGGACGAUCAGCCACACUGGGACUGAGACACGGCCCAGACUCCUACGGGAGGCAGCAGUGGGGAAUCUUGCGCAAUGCGCGAAAGCGUGACGCAGCAACGCCGCGUGAGGGAGGACGGCCUUCGGGUUGUAAACCUCUUUCAGUUGGGACGAAGCUUCGUCGGUUAAUAGCCGGCCGGAGUGACGGUACCUUCAGAAGAAGCCCCGGCUAACUACGUGCCAGCAGCCGCGGUAAUACGUAGGGGGCAAGCGUUGUCCGGAAUCAUUGGGCGUAAAGAGCGUGUAGGCGGUCCAGUCAGUCUGCUGUGAAAGUCCAGGGCUCAACCCUGGGAUGCCGGUGGAUACUGCUGGACUAGAGUCCGGAAGAGGCGAGUGGAAUUCCUGGUGUAGCGGUGAAAUGCGCAGAU
rnacentral:rRNA from 1 species